rnacentral:misc_RNA from 1 species
GCCUCCAAAGCAGCUAUGCUCUUCGUGUUAUCUCUCUCAUGGCCGGAGAAAUGAUGGAACCAAUCAGAUUGAUUGGGAUAUGGACGAGGUAUACAAGUUCUUAACUAAUUAUUAUGGAAAAGCACUUGCAUCUCUGUACAAGGACAAGGGUCUUCUUGGGAGUGAAGCGAUUGACGGGACUAUUGAAGAUUUGGUGGCCUCAACAAAUGCAGUAGUUGUGCCAGUAGGGGCUGCAUUGGCCAUUGCUCUUGCUAGCUGUGCAUUUGGAGCACUUGCUUGUUAUUGGCGUUCACGACAGAAGAGUCGGAAGUAUUACCACCAACUACACUCUUUAAAGAACAUAUGAUAUUUAGGAGGGCAGUGCGCUUUUUCAAAAAUUAUAAUGAGUUAUAACAGAAAAAGGAAAGAAAAAAGAAAGAGAGACAAAAAAGAGAUUUUAAUGGUUAGGUAAAUUUUUUUCUUAUUUGCCAAGGAGGAAGCCGGAAGUCAGAUAGUUAGAAGGACCAAACCAUACACA